AGCAGCCGCGGUAAUUCCAGCUCCAAUAGCGUAUAUUAAAGUUGUUGCAGUUAAAAAGCUCGUAGUUGAAUUUCGAGACCGGUUUAUUGGUCGUGCUUUUGUACGUACUGGUAUUAUUGGUUUCUCCUUUCUGACGAAUCUUAAUGCCAUUAAUUUGGUGUUUUGGGGAAUCAGGACUGUUACUUUGAAAAAAUUAGAGUGUUUAAAGCAGGCUCACGCUUGAAUACAUUAGCAUGGAAUAACGGAAUAGGACGUUUGAUUCUAUUUUGUUGGUUUCUAGGAUCGACGUAAUGAUUAAUAGGGAUAGUUGGGGGCAUUAGUAUUCAAUUGUCAGAGGUGAAAUUCUUGGAUUUAUUGAAGACUAACUACUGCGAAAGCAUUUGCCAAGGAUGUUUUCAUUAAUCAAGAACGAAAGUUAGGGGAUCGAAGACGAUCAGAUACCGUCGUAGUCUUAACCAUAAACUAUGCCGACUAGGGAUCGGAUGAUGUUAAUUUUUUAAUGUACUCAUUCGGCGCCUUA
rnacentral:rRNA from 1 species